GAUGAACGCUGGCGGCGUGCCUAACACAUGCAAGUCGAACGAAGCACGUCCCUCGAGGCCUUCGGGCGGAGAGGGGCGUGACUUAGUGGCGGACGGGUGAGUAACGCGUGGGUAACCUGCCCUAUACUGGGGGAUAACAGCUAGAAAUGGCUGCUAAUACCGCAUGAGCGCACAGUCCCGCAUGGGACAGUGUGGAAAACUCCGGUGGUAUAGGAUGGACCCGCGUCCGAUCAGCUGGUUGGUGGGGUAACGGCCCACCAAGGCGACGAUCGGUAGCCGACCUGAGAGGGUGACCGGCCACAUUGGGACUGAGACACGGCCCAA
rnacentral:rRNA from 1 species